rnacentral:rRNA from 1 species
UACGGGGGGGAGCAAGCGUUGUUCGGAUUUACUGGGCGUAAAGGGCGCGUAGGCGGCCACCGCAAGUCGGUUGUGAAAUCUCCGGGCUUAACUCGGAACGGUCAAGUGAUACUGUCGGACUAGAGUACAGAAGGGGCAACUGGAAUUCUCGGUGUAGCGGUGAAAUGCGUAGAUAUCGAGAGGAACACCUGCGGCGAAGGCGGGUUGCUGGGCUGAUACUGACGCUGAGGCGCGAAAGCCAGGGGAGCGAACGGG